CGGGUUCCGCCUACAAGGAAGACUUCACCCGGACUCCUACGGAAGCUGGGCUCCAUCCACGACUUCUGCAGCAAGGGCUAAUGGUGGCGAAACCCGGCCGCCUAACAAGAUCGGAUGAAAGGAAAAAGCCCCUCCCCCCCCAACGAUGUCAACAUCAGACAAGUCAAACGACAAGAAAGGUUCGGCAGACAGCAGUAUCAGUGCGACGCGCGGACGAGGUAACACAAAAUGCUCUUUUUAUUCCAUUUCCGAUAUACACACUACAAAGCCAGGACGGCCA
rnacentral:lncRNA from 1 species